rnacentral:rRNA from 1 species
GAUGGAUAGGAUAAUUUAAAUAAUAUAAUUGUGGUGUAAGUGUAAUUAUGAUAAGAAAAAAUUUUUUUAAUAUUAGUAGCAGGAUGUGAAAAGAAAAGAAAAGAAGAGAGUGUGAGUACUGAGAAGGAAAUAAAAUUAAGGGAAUAUAAGUAAUAGUAAAAUUUUAUUUUUGUACCUUUUGCAUAAUGGUUUAAUUAUAUUGAAGUUAAAUAAUUGAUUCUCGAAGUAAAAAGAUUUAUCUUACAUAUAUAUAUAUAUAUAUAUAUAUAUAUAUAUAUAUAUAUAUAUAUAUAUAUAUAUAUAUAUAUAUAUAUAUAUAUAUAUAUAUAUAUAUAUAUAUAUAUAUAUAUAUAUAUAUAUAUAUAUAUAUAUAUAUAUAUAUAUAUAUAUAUAUAUAUAAUUAAUUAAUUUAAAUAUAGGGGAUAAGCUCUAUGUGGGUGUGAAAAUGAUUUUAUUUGAGUUUAUAUGGAAGUUGAAUUAAUAGUUUAGCUUUUUAAGUGGUUAUAUAAAUUAAAGGUUUUUAAUGAAAUUAGAUAAUAAUAAGUUUUUAUUAAUUUAUGUUAAUUAAUUAUAAUGUUAAAAUGAGUAGAUUUAAAUUUUAAUUGUUUAAUGAUAUUAUUUGGAUUUAUAGUUAUAAAUAAUUAUGUAUUGUUAGGUGAUGAAUUAAGGUAAAGGAAUUCGGCAAAAUAAUAAUUUCGCCUGUUUAUCAAAAACAUGUCUCUUUGAUUAUGUGAAUAUAAAGAGUUGUGCCUGCUCGGUGAAUUGUUUUUAACAGCUGCGGUAUUAUAACUGUACUAAGGUAGCAUAAUAACUUGCCUUAUAAAUUGGGGCUAGAAUGAAUGGUUUGACGAAAGUUAUGCUGUCUCUAUCUUAAUUAGUUGAAUUUAAUUUUUAAAGUGAGAAAGCUUAAAUGAUUUAAAGGGACGAGAAGACCCUAUUGAGCUUUAAAUAUUAAUUUAAAUAGAAAUAGUUAUUUAAGCUUAAUAAUUUUGAUUGGGGUAAUCAAGGAGUGAAUAGUUUUAUAUCUUCCUUAAAUAAUUGUUAAUAUUAUGAUAAUAUAAAUAAAUAAAUAAACCGAUUUUUUUUGCUUUUAAGAUAAGUUACCAUAGGGAUAACAGCGUAAUUUUUUUUGAGAGUUCAUAUUAAAAAAAGAGAUUGCGACCUCGAUGUUGGAUUAAAAUUACCUUAAGGUGGAGAAGCUUUAUUUGGUGAAUCUGUUCGAUUUUUAAAAUUUUACAUGAUCUGAGUUCAAACCGGUGUAAGCCAGGUUGGUUUCUAUCUUUUAAGUUUAAAUUUAAUUUAAUUUAGUACGAAAGGAAUAAUUAAAAUUAAUUUAGAUAAUUAAUUAAAAUAAAUAAUGAAAAAAUAAAGUUGGCAGAUAGAAUGUGAAUAAUUUAGGAUUAUUUUAUAAAAUUAU